GAGAGAUGAGGAGCUUGCUCUUCAAAUCGAGUGGCGAACGGGUGAGUAACGCGUGAGGAACCUGCCUCAAAGAGGGGGACAACAGUUGGAAACGACUGCUAAUACCGCAUAAGCCCACGGCUCGGCAUCGAGCAGAGGGAAAAGGAGCAAUCCGCUUUGAGAUGGCCUCGCGUCCGAUUAGCUAGUUGGUGAGGUAACGGCCCACCAAGGCGACGAUCGGUAGCCGGACUGAGAGGUUGAACGGCCACAUUGGGACUGAGACACGGCCCAGACUCCUACGGGAGGCAGCAGUGGGGAAUAUUGCACAAUGGGGGAAACCCUGAUGCAGCGACGCCGCGUGGAGGAAGAAGGUCUUCGGAUUGUAAACUCCUGUUGUUGAGGUAGAUAAUGACGGUACUCAACAAGGAAGUGACGGCUAACUACGUGCAGCAGCCGCGGUAAAACGUAGGUCACAAGCGUUGUCCGGAAUUACUGGGUGUAAAGGGAGCGCAGGCGGGAGAACAAGUUGGAAGUGAAAUCCAUGGGCUCAACCCAUGAACUGCUUUCAAAACUGUUUUUCUUGAGUAGUGCAGAGGUAGGCGGAAUUCCCGGUGUAGCGGUGGAAUGCGUAGAUAUCGGGAGGAACACCAGUGGCGAAGGCGGCCUACUGGGCACCAACUGACGCUGAGGCUCGAAAGUGUGGGUAGCAAUCAGGAUUAGAUACCCUGGUAGUCCACACCGUAAACGAUGAUUACUAGGUGUUGGAGGAUUGACCCCUUCAGUGCCGCAG
rnacentral:rRNA from 1 species